UCGGGAGGGCGUUUACCACGGUGUGGUUCAUGACUGGGGUGAAGUCGUAACAAGGUAGCCCUAGGGGAACCUGGGGCUGGAUCACCUCCUUACCUAAAGA
rnacentral:rRNA from 1 species